UCCUGGUUAGCUCACUUGGUAGAGCGCUCCCCUGGAAAUGGAGAGGUUCCUGGUUCGAUACCGCAACCAAGCA
rnacentral:tRNA from 2 species